AUAAAUAUAUAUAUAAAUGAAAAUCAUUUUCAGAGUUGCUAAAGCUUCAGUUUAUGACAUUAAGUUUAUGAAACUUCUAAAAAUUGCCUUUUUUGGAGACUACUGUGCUGAAGAAAAUAGUGUAGUCUGUUCUGUGAGGAGGAGAUGUGAGCACCCAGAAUGUCUUUCAAGGCCAGGCGGGUAUACUUGUUUACUGCCUACUGGAUUUUUUUCUGUUAACAUUGAAAGGCAAAAUCUGAUUACUUAGCAUGAGAAAAAAAAAAUCCAACUCUGCUUUUGGUCUUGCUUCUAUAAAUAUAUAGUGUAUACUUGGUGUAGACUUUGCAUAUAUACAAAUUUGUAGUAUUUUCUUGUUUUGAUGUCUAAUCUGUAUCUAUAAUGUACCCUAGUAGUCGAACAUACUUUUGAUUGUACAAUUGUACAUUUGUAUACCUGUAAUGUAAAUGUGGAGAAGUUUGAAUCAACAUAAACACGUUUUUUGGUAAGAAAAGAAAAUUAGCCAGCCCUGUGCAUUCAGUGUAUAUUCACACCUUUUAUGGUCGUAGCAUAUAGUGUUGUAUAUUGUAAAUUGUAAUUUCAACCAGAAGUAAAUUUUUUUUUUCUUUUGAAGGAAUAAAUGUUCUUUAUACAGCCUAGUUAACUUUUAAAAAGAAAAAAAUAGCUUGGUUUUAUUUGUCACCUAGUCAGAUAGUAGCAAGAUCCUUUCUAAAUGUUAUUCAAGAUGAUUCAGUUCAUACUAGUGGUUUUGGGUUUUUUUUAAUCCUAAAAAAGUAAUGUUUUGCUUAUUUUGUGACAGUCAAAAGGACGUGCAAAGUUCAGCCCCGCCCUAACUUUCCUUACAAUCAGAGCCCCUCUCACCUUGUAAAGUGUGAAUUGCCCUUCCUUUUUGUACAGAAGAUGAACUGUAUUUUGCAUUUUGUCUCCUUGUAAGUGAAUGUAACAUACUGUCAAUUUUCCUUGUUUGAAUAUAGAAUUGUAACACUACACGGUGUACAUUUCCAGAGCCUUGUGUAUAUUUCCAAUGAACUUUUUUGCAAGCACACUUGUAACCAUAUGUGUAUAAUUAACAAACCUGUGUAUGCUUAUGCCUGGGCAACUAUUUUUUGUAACUCUUGUGUAGAUUGUCUCUAAACAAUGUGUGAUCUUUAUUUUGAAAAAUACAGAACUUUGGAAUCUG
rnacentral:lncRNA from 1 species